rnacentral:rRNA from 1 species
UACGGAGGGGGCUAGCGUUGUUCGGAAUUACUGGGCGUAAAGCGCACGUAGGCGGCUUUGCAAGUUAGAGGUGAAAGCCCAGGGCUUAACCCUGGAAUUGCCUUUAAAAACUGCAUCGCUAGAAUUGUGGAGAGGUAAGUGGAAUUCCGAGUGUAGAGGUGAAAUUCGUAGAUAUUCGGAAGAACACCAGUGGCGAAGGCGACUUACUGGACACAUAUUGACGCUGAGGUGCGAAAGCGUGGGGAGCAAACAGG